GCGGAAGUGGUGGAAUUGGUAGACACGCCAUCUUGAGGGGGUGGUGAGCCUAGCUCGUGCGGGUUCAAGUCCCGCCUUCCGCACCA
rnacentral:tRNA from 1 species